rnacentral:lncRNA from 1 species
ACAAAAAGGCUACUCUCCAGUGGUUAGUUACUCCCAAGGCAAUUUUCAUACCUAAGAAAAAAGGAAAUUAGAAUUUUGGUAACAAUGUUUCACUCACAUACCUAAAACUAUGCCUGCAUUUAUCUCACUAUAUUAAAAACACAUUUGUUUCAGAAGACAUAUAGAUGGCCAAUAAGGACAUGAAAGGAUGUAAACAUCACUAAUUAUUAGGGAAAUGCAAAUAAAAACUACCAUGAAGUAUCACCUCAUUCUAGUCAGAAUGGUUAUCAUCAAAAAGUCUGCAAAUAAUAAAUGCCAGAGAGGGUAUAGAGAAAAGGAACCCUCCAGCACUGCUGCUGGGAAGGUAAAUCAGUGUAGCCAGUUGUUUUGUUUUAAAUGAUUUGUAUUUUUUUCAAUUAUAGCUGGUUUACAGUGAAACAGUAUUUUUAAUUAAAAAAAAAACUAAAAAGAGAAUUACCAUAUAGUCCAGUGAUCCCACUUUUGGGCACAUAUCUGGAGGAAACCAUAAUUCAAAAAGAUACAUGUACCCCUAUUUUCAUAGCACCACUAUUUAUAAUAGCCAAGACAUGGAAGCAACCUAAAUGUCCACUGACAGAUAAAUGGAUUAAGAUGUAGUGUGUGUGUGUGUGUGUGUGUGUGUGUGUGUGUGUGUGUGUGUAUAUUUACACACACCAUGCAAUACUACUCAAGCCCUACAAAAGAAUUAAGUAAUGCCAUUUGCAAUACAUGCAUGAACCUAGAGAUUAUCAUAUUAGUAAAAUAAGACAAGAAGACAAAUAUCAUAAAAUAUCAUUUAUAUGUGGAAUCUAAAAGAUGAUACAAAUGAACUUAUUUACAAAAUAGAAACAGAUUUACAGACAUAGAAAAAAAAUAAAACACAUGGUUACCAAAAGAGAAAGGAGUGGGGAAAGAGAAAUUAGGAAUCUGGUAUUAGCAGAUAAAAACUACUACCUAUAAAACAGAUAAACAAGGUCCUACUGUAUAACAUAGAGGACUAUACUUAAUAACUCGUAGUAAACUAUGAUGGAAAAGAAUAUGAAAAAGAAAACACACACACACAUAACUGAAUCUCACUGCUGUACACCAAAAAAUAACGCAUUCUCACAUGUCUCAUCAGUUUUGCGUUAAAUAAGUAGAACAUGUAAUUUUUUAGAUCUGUUCCCUCACCUGUAAAACUGGAAGAAAAACUGUCCUUACAUGAAUGUGAGAUAAAACAAAUAAGCUUCGUCUUCCUUACAAAGUCAUGGAAGACUUUAUAUAUAAUAUACACAACAUUACAAAGACUCUAUUGUUUACCCAUUCAUCAAACAUUUGCUCGCAUUCUUCUUACUAACACAGUUGUUCAAGUGUCAGUGUCACUGGCUCUAGGGGAUGAUUAAUGAUUGGCUUAAGCUGAUCAUAGGGAUCUCAGCUACUUCUGCCAAGGACUGGCCUGGGGAAGUGGCUAUAAGACUUUUCUGCCAAAUAAAUAUAGUGUAUAUGCUGGGAUGUAUUCUGGGAAAUAUAUUCCUCCAUGUGUGAAGAAGUCCCCUUCCCCAUCUGCAUUUCCUUCCUUUCAGCUUUGGACGUUAGCAAGGGAGAUCUGAUGCCUGGCACCUCGUGAUGAGAUAAGAACACGAGCAAACAUGCUAAGGAUGGUGAAGCAGAAAGAUGGAAAGGAGCAAGUCCCAAAUGGCACUGAUGAUAAAACAGGCACUUUAUUACUGAUAUAUGUGAUUAGGAAGUAAUAGCCUUGAUGCCACCCUAUGGGAAACUUUGAUUUCCUCUCCAGCACCAACCAAAGCAUAUUUCUUUGCCUACUCUUCCAGUGAAGUAUGUACUACAAUAAAUAGGUCAUCGCUGUUUUGCUGUUAAAAAUUAAACUUAUAUAAUAGAAUAACUUUUUAAAGACUUCAAAAAUGUUAGAAAAAAAUAUUGAGACAAUCUUGUUAGGAGGUAAGCCUUCCUAAGACUAGGCAAUAACCAGAAGCCAUAAGGAAUCUGUAAUGAGGGACUUCAGAAAAACAGAAAGAUACAAUGUAAAGAAUUUAUGUACCACCUAUAAAACAGAGAAUAACACUUCAGGAUACAUAAUAUUUCCUAAACAUUAAUGUUAUAAAGACAAUUACUUCAUACAAAAUAAACAGUUCAGAGAGGACAUAACAAAGACCCAACAAACCUAUGAGAACAAUACCACAACUCAUUAAUGUGACAAAGAAAUAGAAAACAAAAUAAAUAUGUGACUUGUAAAAACUCAUCCAAGUAAAAUGACCGAUGUCAUAUAGCACUGAUAUGAUGCAAGGAAACUAUUUUACAUACUUUUCUUGCAGUAUAAAUUACUUCAGAAGUAUAAUUUGGCUACAUCUACCAAAAUCUGAACUGUUAAUACUCCUUGCACCUACUGUUUUUGUCUUUUUUCUUUGAAGAAAUUCUCCCACCCUGUGUAGUAAUGGUGGAGACAGUCAAUCACAGAAAUGGGCAUGCAAUAUUGUGGAUUCCUCAUCCAUUUUCUUGCUUUGUCUGUUUCAAAAUCUAGGCACAAAGCAAAAAUAAAUGAAGUCCCAUUCAAAAUUUUUACAUGGUUCCUGGAAGAGAAAGUUUUCCCACUUUAAGUUAAUGUGUGCAAGGACCACAUUAACCUAAAUGCACUGGUACCCAUCUUUUCUGACACAUAGAGAGAACUUCUCUGAGAAUAAAUCUCACAAAUAGGAUAGAAAAUGAGAGAUUUGGAGGUAUUUAAAACUUGUAACUUGAAUCUUUCCGUACCUUUAACAGGCAUACCUUGGAAACUUUUCUUAUAUCAGAAAAUAGUUUAUUUUUCUUUGGACUUUUCAGUUAAUUUCAUCUGAAUUUAUGUCAGUUGCCUCUGAUAAAGCAUAUCAAAUAUUCACACACUUUCAAAGUAAAUUAUAUAUAGUGUGUGUAUCAUAUUAAAUUAUAUGUUUAUAUUCCAUAUUAAAUUAUGUUUACAUUAUAUAUAUUAUAAAUUCUAAUAGCAAAAAUCUAGAAACAACCUAAACGUCCAUCUAAAUGAGGAGACAUGUUUAACAAAUGAUUCAUUUGCAUAAUAUUAAACAGGAACUAAAAAUAAUGAGGUAACCAAUAUGUCCUAUGAGGAAAAUCUCUCAUAGCUCAUGCAUAGAAAAAGCAGAGCUGCAAUACAAAUGUACCAUAUGCAGCACUUAUUUUUUAAAUGAUAUACCACUACAUUACUUAUUUGAUAAAAAGAAGUACUAGAAAGAUAUAAAAUGAACGGUUUACAGUUCUUCCCUCUAAGUUAAGACGUAGAAAUCCAGAAAAGUUUCUAUUUUAUACUAAGCACUCAUAUAUACAAUGAAAAUACUAAAGGAUAAAAACGUUUAUUUUCCCUUCAAAGAAAAUAGGUAGUUAAAAUGAGAAAAACUAUUGACUUCUUCAAAAUUAACAUAGCAGUGCAUAUUUUACCAAAAGGCAGGUGAGAAAGUCUCUACCUAUGGAUUACAGCUAAAUUCAGUGUAAAGAAUAAGUCAUAUUUUUACAUCUUGAUAGCUUUUGACAAUUAUAAGAUGGUGACCAUUGCAUCUUUGAUAUCACUUUUUAUUUUUAUUAUAAAAGCCGAAAUGAAGAAUGAUAGCCAAUUUACUGUAAUCUAGCAAUCAGGGAUGAUCUCAUUUGAUCUACCUAUUUUUAAUAUGAAUCUACCCAAGUAGUCAUCUCAUUAAUUUUUAAUUAUUCACAGAGAUGGCUCCUCUCAGUUUACUUACAAAGUUUAUGUUAAAACUCAUUUAACAUAAACUUUGAGUGAUUAUUUAGUCAGAGAAAUUUGCUAAAAACAAAACUCUGGAUUAAGAACAGAGUCUUUUACCAUGAGAGACAUACAACAUCAAAGUUUUUUAUGUUACAGAACAUAUUAGAGUCACUUUUUAAAAUAUUUAACAAUCAAUGAAAUUAAAUAUAAAUGAAAUAAAAGCAGCAAGAUAAUGCAAAGCUGCAGAAGAAAAUCAAUAUCUCAGAGCUGCUGACCCUAGAUCAAUUUCACCACAGAGAAUCUACACCUGAUACUGGUGUAUUCCAAUUAUUAUUCCUUAUAAUUAAGCUCUUCCUUCACAAGUCUUUACUGAAAGCAAGACAAAAGAACAAAAAUAAAACAGGAAACACACACAGCAGAACACCCAGACACAUGGAUUUUCCAUGACUUAUUUCCAUAGCAAAUAUCACCUUCUUUUUCCACUGACAUGUACAAUCCUAGUCUACACAAACCCUUAUGCGCGCGCGCGCACACACACACACACACACCAAACUCACAUUUCCUCAGUUGACUUAGUGAAUACUUUCAGGAUAAUUUCACUAUAUUAAACAUGUAUGAAACUUGAAUUUGGGAGACCACAAUUUAGGGUCUGAAGAUAUUACCCCUUGCUUAGAUUUCAAAAUUAUACAAUAUUAUCAUUCCAUUUUAUAGCAAAUAAAUAAGGUUAUGAAAAUUCAUACAACGAUUUUAUUUGCACCUAACCGACAGGAGCAUCUGUUGCGUGGUGGGGGAAUGAGAAUUAGCCAGAACUGUAAUUGGCCCUCUUGAUUGAUUGCUACUCCAGGAUACAGUUUAGUUGACUAUUCUGGAAACCAAUUAUAAGAAAGUACCAUCUCUAAUGCAGCAGUAAUUAGGGAGGAUUCCCUCUAUCCUUGUAUGUUUCAUUUCAUCUUUUAAAAACAUCAACACACAUCCUUCCUUUUAUAAAAAUGGCAUUUCAAAAACUGAAGUUACUGUAAAGUAUAAGCUAUGAUCAAGCAUUUCCCAAUUUACAUCACAGAUCUAACAGUAAGUCACUGCCACACAGGAGCAAGAACUUCGUAUUCAGUUGCUUCAGAUUCUAUGAGAUUAUCAUCUCUUGAUGCAGGAAGAAAAGGAACAUCAAAUAUGAAGAAUAAAAACAUCCAGUCUGCAUUUUACCAAGUCUCUUCCAAUCAACCUUAAAAAUUGGCCAUUUGAAAAUCAUAUGUGAGAUUAAUCCUAUUAACACCUAAGAUGGCUGUUUGAAUUGAAUAUUUUUGAAGAGAUACUUAGUACCAUGAGGAAAGAAUGAAGUCUAGUUAAAAGUCUCAAAGGAAACCACUGGCAUAUAUGCCAGAAAGGAUCCACACAUAUAUAUGGACCAAUUAUUAAAAUUCAUAAUAAAUACAUAAUUCAUGAGAAUAUCUGUCGAGGGCAAAAAAGAAAUUAGCAUAUCAGAAAAUGAGAAUAAAAUUGUACCUUGUUUUAUUACAUUGUCAUAAGCCUCAAAACUAUAGUGUUCUGCAUUCUUUCAAAAAUCGGUUUUUUUUUCCCCUUCAAUGCAUAUGUUUGUGCUGUGCCAAAGAGUCACGAUUAAUAACAUAUAAAAGAUUUGUCACAUAACUUAUCAAAAAACAGUCAAAUACAGGAUAGAGUAUCAA